UAGGGAAUCUUCGGCAAUGGACGAAAGUCUGACCGAGCAACGCCGCGUGAGUGAAGAAGGUUUUCGGAUCGUAAAACUCUGUUGUUAGAGAAGAACAAGGACGUUAGUAACUGAACGUCCCCUGACGGUAUCUAACCAGAAAGCCACGGCUAACUACGUGCCAGCAGCCGCGGUAAUACGUAGGUGGCAAGCGUUGUCCGGAUUUAUUGGGCGUAAAGCGAGCGCAGGCGGUUUCUUAAGUCUGAUGUGAAAGCCCCCGGCUCAACCGGGGAGGGUCAUUGGAAACUGGGAGGCUUGGGUGCAGAAGAGGAGGGUGGAAUUCCAUGUGGAGCGGUGAAAUGCGUAGAUAUAUGGAGGAACAACAGUGGCGAAGGCGGCUCUCUGGUCUGUAACUGACGCUGAGGCUCGAAAGCGUGGGGAGCAAACAGG
rnacentral:rRNA from 1 species